CUGCGUACAGUAACUGGUAAAUACGUUUGAUCGCCCCACACCGAAACUGUAUCGAAGUUUCCGUAUAGGUGAGCCGAGUUGCAACGGUGAUCUAUGGAGUACCCACGUAGCCAUGGAUGCACGUAGGCGAAGCGUUGCAUAGGAAUGCUAUCCAGCGGCGCGUUCACUCGCGCUCUCAAGCUAUUCUCAAGAUUUGUUACUUGACGUUGAGAAACUGUGGUUCCUACUUUGCGUCUAUGUAUAUACACCUAACGUACACCGGCUCGGCCAGCUUUCCGGCCAACAAUCGCCGGCUGUGAAAUAUAUUAAGUUCGGCGAACGAGUCGAGCUUUUUCUCCGUUGAAAUCGCAGCCGGGUCACGUAGGUUCGUUAAUCUCGAUGCGGGUUACUUUCGUGUAAAAAAAAGAAAAAAGAACACUAGGAAUCGAUACACAAUUCCGAAAUAAACUCCGUUCGUCCGACUUUCCGAUUUGAUACUCAUCCGAGGAAGGCUCAACAACGAAUGAAUACGUUCGAUGAUAAUACAAGUGUUUAUCCGAAGGGAUUAUCCCUUCCUCGAGCUCGGCUUCGCCGGUUUCGCAGGUCGCCUAGAGGCCCGAAACAAACUUCGUCUUUCGCAUUCACGUACCGGCAUUUAUCGAGCGAGGACGUCGAAAACGCACUCAGACUGAAGGGUUUCCCUCUCUCUCUUUCGAAGUACUUUUCAACGAUCAAUCGAACUGUGAGGAAAAGAUUUGUUCAACGAGAAGGAGAAACGGCGGAUGGAUGUAUCAAAGUUUCGUUGAAGAACGCGAAUUUGUGAGACGAUGGGAGUACAGGGAACGAAAGUCGGCGUACACGCGAACAAACUUAAAUCCGGAACACGGAUUCGUACGAAAGAAACAGAGCUUUCUCGUUUCAAACUGGAAGCGAUCUCAGAAAGUAAAUAAAAAUUCCAAAUAUUCGCGGUCGGAUCGUUCUGUUAUCUUUCGGUAACAGUGUUUUUCGUUCCAUUUAUUUAUAAUCUCUUAUGAAUAAGCAAAUUUUACAGAUGGGUGUCGCUCAGUUUUAUUUAGUACUUUGUUAUUUCUUCUGUGAUCGACAGAGUUUGAAUGAUGUAUUUGUUGAUAUUUCAAAGAAUUUCUCACUGAAUUUGUGCCAAUAUUUCGAUACUGGAGAUGGAUGGCGAAUUCCAUAGUUCUACGUCAAACCUGUAUUCCUUUUAAUCCUUUAUGCACUCCCGUAACUUUGACGUACCUACCAUUUACGUUUGAAGUUAAAAAAUAUUCGUCCAACAAAAUAUAAUAUUCUAAACGUGAA